AUUCCAGAUUUUAUGAAUGGAUGUUACGUUUGGUGUGCGGAUAUAAGUACCAGUCUCGAGAGCAAUUUUGACUACCUAAUUCCAACAGUCUUAGAUGGUAUGAUACGGUUAGAGGUUGAAUUCUCAGCUCCACUCGGUAAGUUGAUUUUACGGUACACACAAACGUACGUACGUGCACAUCCCUUCCAACAGCCAUCGCUUCUAAUCCACCUGGUCUCUCUCUCUCUCAUUUUCUCUCCAGGUGUAGAGCUAGUUAUGCUCACCAUUGGUAAGCAUUUGAUAAUGUGGGAAUCAUACUAUCUUCUACAAGUUUCUCCAAUUUCAUUUUUAUAGGUCAACACCCCAGCCUCAUCGAGAUUGGACGUGAUCGAUCCAUUUCGUUGUCUUAUCCCGUUUAAGAAGAAAACAACAACGACAAUUGACAAACGGGAAUUUAGUAAAAACACAUGAUUUUACAUGAUGUUCGUGGUUUUUAUUUAAUCAAUGUAAAACAAUCAGCAGUAGACCGACUAAGUACGUAAAGGUAAAAUAAUAUUUGAUGUUCAGUUGGUAAAAUAAAACUUCGAAACAUUAAAUCCGGCGGUAGGUUUAAGUCCGUUGCCAAAUCAAUCAUUAUGUAAUGGGCUCCACGAAUCAAUGGAAAUCGCAAGUUCAAGGUUGCAAAGCAAUAGGUUAGGAAAUUAGAAUCUCCGUUGGGCGCAAAGUUUGAACUAAUCAUUUUCAUGACUGAUCUAGAGCCUCGAUGGUUAAAAAUGAUGAUAUUAGACAUGUUGCGGAGAAUUGUGGUGUGAUGUCUCGCUGUUGAAUAGAAA